GACGAACGCUGGCGGCGUGCUUAACACAUGCAAGUCGAGCGGUAAGGCCCUUUCGGGGGUACACGAGCGGCGAACGGGUGAGUAACACGUGGGUGACCUGCCCUCAGCUCUGGGAUAAGCCUGGGAAACCGGGUCUAAUACUGGAUAUGACUCCAUGACGCAUGUUGUGGGGUGAAAGCCUUGUGCGGCUGAGGAUGGGCCCGCGGCCUAUCAGCUUGUUGGUGGGGUGAUGGCCUACCAAGGCGACGACGGGUAGCCGGCCUGAGAGGGCGACCGGCCACACUGGGACUGAGACACGGCCCAGACUCCUACGGGAGGCAGCAGUGGGGAAUCUUGCGCAAUGGGCGAAAGCCUGACGCAGCGACGCCGCGUGAGGGAUGACGGCCUCGG
rnacentral:rRNA from 1 species